rnacentral:rRNA from 1 species
UCGAGAAUCAUUCGCAAUGGGCGAAAGCCUGACGCUGCGACGCCGUGUGUAUGAUGAAGGCCUUCGGGUCGUAAAGUACUUUCGCUUGGGAACAAAGAAGAGUGGCUAAUAACCAUUUGACUUGAGGGUACCAGGUAAAGAAGCACCGGCUAACUCCGUGCCAGCAGCUGCGGUAAUACGGAGGGUGCAAGCAUUAAUCGGAUUUAUUGGGCGUAAAGGGCGCGUAGGCUGCCGUAUAAGUCAGAUGUGAAAUCCUGGGGCUUAACCUCAGAACAGCAUUUGAAACUGUGCGGCUAGAGGGUAGUCGGAGAAAACGGAAUUCCACAAGUAGCGGUGAAAUGCGUAGAUAUGUGGAAGAACAUCUGUGGCGAAGGCGGUUUUCUAGAUUAUUCCUGACGCUGAGGCGCGAAAGCAAGGGGAGCAAACA